rnacentral:rRNA from 1 species
GGGCCCGCACAAGCGGUGGAGCAUGUGGUUUAAUUCGACGCAACGCGCAGAACCUUACCAGGGUUUGACAUCCUGUGCUCACUGGUGAAAGCCAGUUUCCCCGCAAGGGCGCAGAGACAGGUGCUGCAUGGCUGUCGUCAGCUCGUGUCGUGAGAUGUUGGGUUAAGUCCCGCAACGAGCGCAACCCUCGCCUUUAGUUGCCAUCAUUCAGUUGGGCACUCUAGAGGGACCGCCGGCGGCAAGCCGGAGGAAGGUGGGGAUGACGUCAAGUCCUCAUGGCCCUUACACCCUGGGCUACACACGUGCUACAAUGGCGGUGACAAUGGGCAGCUACUUCGCGAGAAGAUGCUAAUCCCAAAAAACCGUCCCAGUUCAGAUUGUACUCUGCAACUCGGGUACAUGAAGGUGGAAUCGCUAGUAAUCGCAGAACAGCAGGCUGCGGUGAAUACGUUCCCGGGCCUUGUACACACCGCCCGUCACGGCAUGGGAGUUGGUUUUACCCGAAGACGGUGCGCUAACCGCAAGGAGGCAGCCGGCCACGGUAGGAUCAGCGACUGGGCCGAAGUCGUAACAAGGUAGCCGUAGGGGAACCUGCGGCU